UACGGGGGGGGCAAGCGUUGUUCGGAAUUACUGGGCGUAAAGGGCUCGUAGGCGGCCAACUAAGUCAGACGUGAAAUCCCCAGGCUCAACCUGGGAACUGCCUUUGUGACUGCAAGGCUUGAGUGCGGCAGAGGGGGAUGGAAUUCCGCGUGUAGCAGUGAAAUGCGUAGAUAUGCGGAGGAACACCGAUGGCGAAGGCAAUCCCCUGGGCCUGCACUGACGCUCAUGCACGAAAGCGUGGGGAGCAAACAGG
rnacentral:rRNA from 1 species